CUGCUCCUUGCUCCUUGCCGGACGUGUACAAGUGACUCUCCGCCUACGCGUACUACGUACUGCA
rnacentral:tRNA from 1 species